UGGCCAGACUCCUACGGGAGGCAGCAGUGGGGGAUAUUGGACAAUGGGGGAAACCCUGAUCCAGCGACGCCGCGUGAGUGAAGAAGUCUUUCGGUCUGUAAAGCUCUGUCAGCAGGGAAGAAAGAAAUGACGGUACCUGACCAAGAAGCCCCGGCUAACUACGUGCCAGCAGCCGCGGUAAUACGUAGGGGGCAAGCGUUAUCCGGAAUUACUGGGUGUAAAGGGAGCGCAGGCGGCACGGCAAGCCUGAUGUGAAAGCCCGCGGCCCAACCGCGGGACUGCAUUGGGAACUACCGGGCUGGAGUGCCGGAGAGGUAGGCGGAAUUCCUAGUGUAGCGGUGAAAUGCGUAGAUAUUAGGAGGAACACCAGUGGCGAAGGCGGCCUACUGGACGGUGACUGACGCUGAGGCUCGAAAGCGUGGGGAGCAAACAGGAUUAGAUACCCUAGUAC
rnacentral:rRNA from 1 species